CAACGUUAGACAAAUUAUCGUCUACAGGCCAAAAUGAGUUUGGCUUCUCGGGGUUUCUCCUAAUAGGAAAUGAGAUUUUUAUAUGAGAACCCUGAAACCUUAACAAGACUAGGAAUGCUGAAGCUUAUAGUCAAAACAUUGGGUGCCAGAUGUUCGGUUUACAGAGGAUCUGAAGGCUUCUUUCUCAUCAAAGUUAUCCUGUAAACAACCUGCACAUCGAGAAUCUUGCACUACUUACAUUUGUGUUUUAUUCCGACUCUACAACCUACCCAACAACCAAAAAAUAUCAUCUACUGAUGGAAAAAGUGGGGAAAAUAAGACAAUGUGGAAUUUCCCUCACCAGAGAAUUUCAAUAGUUGUUUGUGGCUUGACUAACACAUAUGUCUCACAUCUUG
rnacentral:lncRNA from 1 species